CACCACUUCUCUCCUGCUGGGGGUUGUGGAGGACUUGCAGCCUCUUGCUAAAAAUAUGUUUGCUGCUACCAGUAUAUGGAAGGUUAAGAUCCCUUGUUGCUUUGAGAGAUUAUUUGGGAACAUAAACAGGAGAAAGUGUUUGAUGGAUACCGUGGUAGGCUUUUUGAUGACUUCUAAGAUAUGGGUUAUUAUCAUCUCCCAGAAGUGUUUG